rnacentral:lncRNA from 1 species
AGCCUAUAAAUAGGCACUCCAAUCAUGUAAUUGAUCAUCCAAGAAAUCAAUAACAUUUUCUUCUAUAAGCUCUUAGUUCAUAUUCCAAAUUUCCUUAAUCACACAAUUAUUCUAACUUUCUUUUAACCAAGCUUCUAAUACUACUCUAUAGCAACCUUUCAACUACUAACAAUAAGCUAUAUUCUACCAUCCUUCAAAAAAGCCUAUAUUCUACCAUACGACCCUUCUCCUCUACAUUAUUAAAAAUUCAGCAACUCACUUCCCCGUCUCCUCUCAUACGACCCAAACAACAACAACAACAACUUCCUAAGCACAAACAACAAGAUCGUAAGAAUGGCAAAGUAUCACAAUAACAAUACAGAUUCUUCAUUUUUUUUUUAUCAAUAUGUCUUUUAAAAAAAAAUUGUAAAACAAACUUUUGUGGAUUCAUAGGAAUUUGUAUAUUAGUUUUAUUUAUUCUCCUAUGUAUCUAUGUAAUUUUUAAAAUCAAACCUUUCACUCCAAAAAACCCUCAAUUCUCCCUAGCUCUUUUAGAUAUCCCGACAUUAAAUUUGUCUGGAUUAGUCCUGACCACAACAAUGAAAGUAGUUCUUUUAUCAAAAAAUCCAAACACAUAAAUUGGCAUUAAAUAUGACGAGUUUCAUACUUUUGAAAACAGGAUAUUAUAUUUAUUUAAGAGCGCUGCUAUAUCACAAGAAAAAAAUCUCCCGAAUAUAUCACGAAAGCAACAUAUUUAUUAUUUACUCUGCACUGCUUGACCCAAAAAAAACCCUUACCAUCCUCUGCNNNNNNNNNNNNNNNNNNNNNNNNNNNNNNNNNNNNNNNNNNAAGCAGAGGACGCUAAAGGUUUUUUUUGGGUCAAGCGGUGCAGAGUAAAU